rnacentral:miRNA from 1 species
UAUAAAAUGAGGGCAGUAAGAC